AUACAGAGGGUGCGAGCGUUAAUCGGAAUUACUGGGCGUAAAGCGCGCGUAGGCGGCUUAUUAAGUCAGAUGUGAAAUCCCCGGGCUCAACCUGGGAACUGCAUCUGAUACUGGUAAGCUAGAGUUUUGGAGAGGGAAGUAGAAUUUCAGGUGUAGCGGUGAAAUGCAUAGAGAUCAGAAGGAAUACCAGUGGCGAAGGCGACUUCCUGGCCAAAAACUGACGCUGAGGUGCGAAAGCGUGGGUAGCAAACGGGAUUAGAAACCCCAGUAGUCC
rnacentral:rRNA from 1 species